rnacentral:lncRNA from 1 species
GGGGUCAGUACUUUAUCUUUUGCUAUUAUAUCUAUGUUAUUAAAUACUGGAAUAGGAUAGGAAGUAAAAUUGAGAAUGAAAAUGAGGAAUGUGUCAAUGAGACAACAACCCGACCAUAGAGAAGACAACAGCAUAAGGUCACCAACAGGUCUUCAAUGCAGCGAGCAAUUCCCGCACCCGGAGGCGUCACUUCAGCUGGCCCCUAAACAAAUAUGUAUACUAGUUCAGUGAUAAUGAACGCCAUACUAAACUCCAAAAUGUACACAAGAAACUAAAACUAAAAAUAAUGCAAGACUAACAAAGGCGCCAAGCCUCCUGACUUGGGACAGGCGCAAAAAUGCGGCGGGGUUAAAGAGCUAUAUUGAUUUUGUAAAAAUUUCUCAAUAAGGCCAUACACAAUUACCGGUUUCUUACUAGGUACACUUGUUUUGUUAAACAAAAGAUGUUGGCGAAAUGUAAUAUUUUUUGUUUGCUUUUUAAAGAAUGUUAAAGUAUCUAUGUAUUAAUUAAGUCUUUUAAAUAUGCACAUUAUUUUGUUUACA